GAUGAACGCUGGCGGCGUGCCUAAUACAUGCAAGUCGAGCGAACAGACGAGGAGCUUGCUCCUCUGACGUUAGCGGCGGACGGGUGAGUAACACGUGGAUAACCUCCCUAUAAGACUGGGAUAACUUCGGGAAACCGGAGCUAAUACCGGAUAAUAUAUUGAACCGCAUGGUUCAAUAGUGAAAGACGGUUUUGCUGUCACUUAUAGAUGGAUCCGCGCCGCAUUAGCUAGUUGGUAAGGUAACGGCUUACCAAGGCAACGAUGCGUAGCCGACCUGAGAGGGGGGUCGGCCACACUAGAACUGAGACACGGUCCAGACGCCUACGGGAGGCAGCAGUAGGGAAUCUUCCGCAAUGGGCGAAAGCCUGACGGAGCAACGCCGCGUGAGUGAUGGAGGUCUUCGGAUCGUAAAACUCUGUUAUUAGGGAAGAACAAAUGUGUAAGGAACUAUGCACGGCUUGACGGUACCUAAUCAGAAAGCCACGGCUAACUACGUG
rnacentral:rRNA from 1 species